rnacentral:rRNA from 1 species
CCUACGGGUGGCAGCAGUGAGGAAUAUUGGUCAAUGGACGGAAGUCUGAACCAGCCAUGCCGCGUGCAGGAAGACGGCUCUAUGAGUUGUAAACUGCUUUUGUAUAAGGGUAAACCUGAAUACGUGUAUGCAGUUGUAAGUACUGUAUGAAUAAGGAUCGGCUAACUCCGUGUCAGCAGCCGCGGUAAUACGGAGGAUCCAAGCGUUAUCCGGAUUUAUUGGGUUUAAAGGGUGCGUAGGCGGAUUGAUAAGUUAGAGGUGAAAUGUUCGGGCUUAACCCGGAAACUGCAUCUAAUACUGGUGAUCUAGAGAAUAGAUGCGGUAGGCGGAAUGUGUGGUGUAGCGGUGAAAUGCUUAGAGAUCAUACAGAACACCGAUUGCGAAGGCAGCUUACCAAUCUAUAUCUGACAUUGAGGCACGAAAGCGUGGGGAGCAAACAGGAUUAGAUACCCGGGUAGUC